AACAUGGCAACAGACAUGACAACAACAGGUUUUAUAGCUUAUAUAUAAUAUCAAUAUUACAAACUUAAUCAAAGUGAGCUUUUAAAUGUUGGUUAUUUAUUUGCCAUUCAACUAUGUAUAUAGCUUUUCUAAGUGUUUAAAUUUUGGACAACUCUGUUAAUAUAAAAUAUACCCAAUCCAAUAAGCCGGGCUAAGUUGUAGAGCCUUGCAUUUUUCUGACAGCUGCCACGCCCGCCUUCAAGCCAAAUACGCUUUCCAUUAGACAUGGCUAACCUCAUGCCUCAUAAACGUAGCACUAACCCAACAACGGCUUUUGCUACACCUACAUCUAUAUCUACAUCUAUAUCUGGAUCUACAGCGACUUGCAGCUAACAAGGAAUUAUGCGGCAUUGCUUUCUCGCACAGCGACCAUCCAAGCGCACUUCAUUUGCUGUGCACAACCCACAACGAACACGCAUACACACACACGCAAAACCACACCCGCCCAUUCAACCCCGCCUUUCGCUUCUUCUAUGCUUAUGACGUGCCCGCUUGCUCGUUUGCUGCGGCAUUAAAGUUAACAAAUAGAGCUUAAAAACUUGCUGCGUGUACGACAGCCACGCCCCUUUCGCCUGGAGCCUGCCCCCUGCCUGGCUGCCGCACGCCUCAUGUGUGCGGUGCCCUGACUGCGACUGUAUUGGUUUAAUUAGUUUACGCGCUGUAUAAUUAAAAUAUAUAUUGUAAAUCAACUUAAGCUGCUCGCAUUGCCGCAAAA